rnacentral:tRNA from 53 species
UGGAGUAUCGCCAAGCGGUAAGGCAGCGGGUUUUGAUCCCGCCAUUCCCAGGUUCAAAUCCUGGUACUCCAGCCA